rnacentral:rRNA from 1 species
GAGAUUUCGGUCAAGGAGCCUAGAUGACUUAGUGGCGAACGGGUGAGUAAUGCGUGAGCAACCUGCCUUUCAGAGGGGGACAACAGCUGGAAACGGCUGCUAAUACCGCAUAACACAUCGGGAUGGCAUCAUCCUGAUGUCAAAGGAGCAAAUUCCGCUGAGAGAUGGGGCUCACGUCUUGAUNUAGCUGGUUGGUGAGGUAACGGCUCACCAAGGCGACGAUCAGUAGCCGGUCUGAGAGGAUGAACGGCNNCAACCAUUGGGACUGAGAUACGGCCCAGACUCCUACGGGAGGCAGCAGUGGGGAAUAUUGGGCAAUGGGCGAAAGCCUGACCCAGCAACGCCGCGUGAAGGAAGAAGGCUUUCGGGUUGUAAACUUCUUUUAUCAGGGACGAAGGAUGUGGCGGUACCUGAUGAAUAAGCCACGGCUAACUACGUGCCAGCAGCCGCGGUAAUACGUAGGUGGCAAGCGUUGUCCGGAUUUACUGGGUGUAAAGGGCGCGUAGGCGGAGAGACAAGUCAGAUGUGAAAUCUAUGGGCUUAACCCAUAAACUGCAUUUGAAACUAUCUCCCUUGAGUGAUGGAGAGGCAAGCGGAAUUCCUAGUGUAGCGGUGAAAUGCGUAGAUAUUAGGAGGAACACCAGUGGCGA